AACGAACGCUGGCGGCAGGCUUAACACAUGCAAGUCGAACGCCCCGCAAGGGGAGUGGCAGACGGGUGCGUAACGCGUGGGAACAUACCCUUUUCUACGGAAUAGCUCUGGGAAACUGGAAUUAAUACCGUAUACGCCCUACGGGGGAAAGAUUUAUCGGGGAAGGAUUGGCCCGCGUUGGAUUAGCUAGUUGGUGGGGUAAAGGCCUACCAAGGCGACGAUCCAUAGCUGGUCUGAGAGGACGAUCAGCCACAUUGGGACUGAGACACGGCCCAAACUCCUACGGGACGCAGCAGUGGGGAAUAUUGGACAAUGGGCGCAAGCCUGAUCCAGCCAUGCCGCGUGAGUGAUGAAGGCCUUAGGGUUGUAAAGCUCUUUCACCGAUGAAGAUAAUGACGGUAGUCGGAGAAGAAGCCCCGGCUAACUUCGUG
rnacentral:rRNA from 1 species